rnacentral:rRNA from 1 species
AUUGAACGCUGGCGGAAUGCUUUACACAUGCAAGUCGAACGGUAGAGGGGGCAACCCCUUGAGAGUGGCGAACGGGUGAGUAAUAUAUCGGAACGUGCCCAGUCGUGGGGGAUAACGUAGCGAAAGUUACGCUAAUACCGCAUACGAUCUAAGGAUGAAAGCGGGGGACUCGCAAGAGCCUCGCGCGAUUGGAGCGGCCGAUAUCAGAUUAGGUAGUUGGUGGGGUAAAGGCUCACCAAGCCAACGAUCUGUAGCUGGUCUGAGAGGACGACCAGCCACACUGGAACUGAGACACGGUCCAGACUCCUACGGGAGGCAGCAGUGGGGAAUUUUGGACAAUGGACGCAAGUCUGAUCCAGCCAUUCCGCGUGCAGGAUGAAGGCCCUCGGGUUGUAAACUGCUUUUGUACGGAACGAAAAGGUCUCUCCUAAUACGAGGGGCUCAUGACGGUACCGUAAGAAUAAGCACCGGCUAACUACGUG